AUCUUCUUAAACUCUGUGCUAAAAUAUCAUGUCUUAAUACUUGUAAUAAAGCUAGAAGAGUAAACACAAAAAGAAAAACAACUGCAUCAGGUAGUAAGAAAGAUUGAAAUGAACCUCUUUCUUAAUUCCAGGGUACUUUGUUCUAAGAUUUGGUACAACAAUA